rnacentral:rRNA from 1 species
CCUACGGGAGGCAGCAGUGAGGAAUAUUGGGCAAUGGGCGCUAGCCUGAACCAGCCAAGUAGCGUGAAGGAUGACUGCCCUAUGGGUUGUAAACUUCUUUUAUAUGGGAAUGAAGUGCAGGAUGUAUACUGCUUUGCAUGUACCUUAUGAAUAAGGAGCGGCUAACUCCGUGCAAGCAGCCGCGGUAAUACGGGGGUUGCGAGCGUUUUCCGGAUUUAUUGGGUGUAAAGGGAGCGUAGGCGGGUUGUUAAGUCAGUUGUGAAAGUCUGCGGCUCAACCGUAAAAUUGCAGUUGAUACUGGCAUCCUUGAGUACAGUAGAGGUAGGCGGAAUUCGUGGUGUAGCGGUGAAAUGCUUAGAUAUCACGAAGAACUCCGAUUGCGAAGGCAGACUGCUGGACUGUAACUGACGCUGAUGCUCGAAAGUGUGGGUAUCAAACAGGAUUAGAUACCCCAGUAGUC